rnacentral:rRNA from 1 species
GCUUGUCUCAAAGAUUAAGCCAUGCAUGUCUAAGUAUAAAUGUUAUACAGUGAAACUGCGAAUGGCUCAUUAAAACAGUUAUAGUUUAUUUGAUAAUCGAAUUUACAUGGAUAACCGUGGUAAUUCUAGAGCUAAUACAUGCUGUUAAGCCUGACUUCUCGGAAGGGCUGUAUUUAUUAGAUAACAAAUCAAUAUUCCCCGUGUCUAUUGUGAUGACUCAUAGUAACUGAUCGAAUCUCAAAUUUGAGAUAAAUCAUUCAAGUUUCUGCCCUAUCAGCUUUCGAUGGUAGUGUAUUGGACUACCAUGGCAGUAACGGGUAACGAAGAAUUAGGGUUCGAUUUCGGAGAGGGAGCAUGAGAAACGGCUACCACAUCUAAGGAAGGCAGCAGG